UACGGAGGGGGCUAGCGUUGUUCGGAAUUACUGGGCGUAAAGCGCGCGCAGGCGGCCUUUUAAGUCUGACGGUGAAAUGCCGGGGCUCAACCCCGUGCCCGCCGCGGAUACUGGGAGGCUGGAGACAUGUAGAGGCAAGCGGAAUUCCGGGUGUAGCGGUGGAAUGCGUAGAGAUCCGGAAGAACACCGGAGGCGAAGGCGGCUUGCUGGGCAUUGUCUGACGCUGAGGCGCGAAAGCGUGGGGAGCGAACAGG
rnacentral:rRNA from 1 species